CUAAUACAUGCAAGUCGAGCGAACGGAUUAAGAGCUUGCUCUUAUGAAGUUAGCGGCGGACGGGUGAGUAACACGUGGGUAACCUGCCCAUAAGACUGGGAUAACUCCGGGAAACCGGGGCUAAUACCGGAUAACAUUUUGAACCGCAUGGUUCGAAAUUGAAAGGCGGCUUCGGCUGUCACUUAUGGAUGGACCCGCGUCGCAUUAGCUAGUUGGUGAGGUAACGGCUCACCAAGGCAACGAUGCGUAGCCGACCUGAGAGGGUGAUCGGCCACACUGGGACUGAGACACGGCCCAGACUCCUACGGGAGGCAGCAGUAGGGAAUCUUCCGCAAUGGACGAAAGUCUGACGGAGCAACGCCGCGUGAGUGAUGAAGGCUUUCGGGUCGUAAAACUCUGUUGUUAGGGAAGAACAAGUGCUAGUUGAAUAAGCUGGCACCUUGACGGUACCUAACCAGAAAGCCACGGCUAACUACGUGCCAGCAGCCGCGGUAAUACGUAGGUGGCAAGCGUUAUCCGGAAUUAUUGGGCGUAAAGCGCGCGCAGGUGGUUUCUUAAGUCUGAUGUGAAAGCCCACGGCUCAACCGUGGAGGGUCAUUGCAAACUGGGAGACUUGAGUGCAGAAGAGGAAAGUGGAAUUCCAUGUGUAGCGGUGAAAUGCGUAGAGAUAUGGAGGAACACCAGUGGCGAAGGCGACUUUCUGGUCUGUAACUGACACUGAGGCGCGAAA
rnacentral:rRNA from 2 species